ACUCGCUGGAUGCGGUAGACCCGCACGUCCAGUGGGGAGUGGAAUAGUUCUUAACCACGAU
rnacentral:autocatalytically_spliced_intron from 1 species